rnacentral:rRNA from 1 species
GAUGAACGCUGGCGGCGUGCCUAAUACAUGCAAGUCGAGCGAACAGACGAGGAGCUUGCUCCUCUGACGUUAGCGGCGGACGGGUGAGUAACACGUGGAUAACCUACCUAUAAGACUGGGAUAACUUCGGGAAACCGGAGCUAAUACCGGAUAAUAUAUUGAACCGCAUGGUUCAAUAGUGAAAGACGGUUUUGCUGUCACUUAUAGAUGUAUCCGCGCGGCAUUAGCUAGUUGGUAAGGUAACGGCUUACCAAGGCAACGAUGCGUAGCCGACCUGAGAGGGUGAUCGGCCACACUGGAACUGAGACACGGUCCAGACUCCUACGGGAGGCAGCAGUAGGGAAUCUUCCGCAAUGGGCGAAAGCUUGACGGAGCAACGCCGCGUGAGUGAUGAAGGUCUUCGGAUCGUAAAACUCUGUUAUUAGGGAAGAACAAAUGUGUAAGUAACUAUGCACGUCUUGACGGUACCUAAUCAGAAAGCCACGGCUAACUACGUG